rnacentral:lncRNA from 1 species
AAGCCACCUAAAUGAAACUGUUACAAAUGGGAAUUAUGCAUGUGAAAUAGGCUCAAAUUUCUUUUAGCAAAUUUCCCAUCCUUUGGAUUCACCUGAUGUUUGAGCUCAUGCAGUCCUGAAGAAAAUCCAGCUCGGAGUGAAAUUUAGGAGGGCAGAACAAAGCAGUCAAAUCCAAGUGAUGAGAGCUGUCAAUAGAUCUGCCAUGGGAUAAAAUUGGCAGGUUCUGCUUGGCUCUAGUCACAGGUGGAACAUAAUUUGAUGGCUUU